rnacentral:rRNA from 1 species
GUGGGGAAUAUUGGACAAUGGGCGAAAGCCUGAUCCAGCAAUGCCGCGUGAGUGAUGAAGGCCUUAGGGUUGUAAAGCUCUUUUACCAGGGAUGAUAAUGACAGUACCUGGAGAAUAAGCUCCGGCUAACUCCGUGCCAGCAGCCGCGGUAAUACGGAGGGAGCUAGCGUUGUUCGGAAUUACUGGGCGUAAAGCGCGCGUAGGCGGUUUUUUAAGUCAGAGGUGAAAGCCCGGGGCUCAACCCCGGAAUAGCCUUUGAAACUGGAAAACUAGAAUCUUGGAGAGGUCAGUGGAAUUCCGAGUGUAGAGGUGAAAUUCGUAGAUAUUCGGAAGAACACCAGUGGCGAAGGCGACUGACUGGACAAGUAUUGACGCUGAGGUGCGAAAGCGUGGGGAGCAAACAGGAUUAGAUACCCGAGUAGUCC